rnacentral:tRNA from 1 species
NUGGUGGGGUUCCCGAGCGGCCAAAGGGAGCAGACUGUAAAUCUGCCGUCAUCGACUUCGAAGGUUCGAAUCCUUCCCCAUGGGGC